GAACCGCGUCAACCAGCACCGUUGGGCGCCGUUAAGGCCCACUGCAUACGGUGCAGGCUAGGUCCAGGCUUACACUCCACAUCACCGCGACGCAGCUAAAGCAGAAAAGCAGUAGGCGGAUGCGUACAUUUGCUGAAUCGCCGACACGAUUCGUAGUGAGCUGGCCCAAGCGUGAUCAUCACCGCAAGCCACUUCAGCACCGCGCCAGCCCAGACCUGUCCGCCGGCACCAAAAGUCCGCAGCCGUACCCGAGGGCAGGCUGUGCAGGCCCUUGGCGCCCCCAGGGAAUGGUCACUGAACCCUGAUACCACACUGAGGUGGCCGGCAUCAUCAGGAUGAGAAGGAAAGGGACCAAACAUCACAGGGCAUCGCCGCUGACGGGAAUGCACAGGCGCAGAGCCGUGAGUGACAGGUCUGCAUGACCCUUUCUUUUUUUCACCUGCUCAAGCGACCUUCUUUCGUUGCACCCAGGAGAACUGCAUCCUUUGCGUGUCCGCCUCGUCGCCUCUCCUCAUCGCACCGGCCUGCUGGUUUGUAGGGCGUGUGCCACGCCCAACGUACUUUGCUCAUCGACGUAUUGGACUCUGCACGCGUACAUGCAUGUAUAUGUAUCGAUGCAGUGACCUCGUGUCUUGCACAUCCCUCUCUCUCUCGUAUCAGGUCCAACGGGCACUCCGUGGAGACUGGCGGAGCUUCUGAACCGACUCCGCCCAACUUCACCGUGUUGUCGACACCACCGCCACCGCAGCUGAAGGAGGGAUGGGAGUGACGAGACCACUCACUGUUCCCUGAGGUGUCUGUGUGCAUGUGCGCUGGAGAGCCGGCGUCCAUCGCCGCUGGCUUCUUUCUUCUGAUGAACACGUAUAUGCACACGCUGAGAGGUUUCUCAUCCCCUCUCCUGGCGGUGUACAGCUUGCUCAGGCUCGGCUGUGAAGCCACACUCACGCGCACUAAAAAUGAAAACAGCAACAUGGAGCACAUGUUAUGCGCUGUGUUGACCGCACGUGUCCCCGCCUCUUCUGUUCGUGCUCCGCCUCCUUCCUAUUUCUUCACGCCUGUUGCGGCUGGUGCGGAGGCCUCUGUCGCAGCCCUCUUGCUUGUUACGCUCUGCGGCGAAACGCGCCCUGCCUUGCUCUGUCGUGAAACACUUCGUGAACGGCACGCACACAUCGCAAACAACAUCAACGCAAAAGGGAGGCUCAGGCGAUGAUCACCGUAGGCGAGUCUGAAGGAAACGAAAAGAGGACAUCGCCGGCGGUGGGCGCCAAGAACCUGCUGGAGCCAGACUGGCGGAGGGGGGGGCGGCUGGCUGGCUAGCGGAAGGAAGAAAGCACCUGGAGAAGGAAUAGGCAAGGUGGGGUUGGGGGUCAGGAAAGUGCCAUGCCCUCUCCCCUCCUCCUCCUCUUCCCUCCUUCCUUCUCCUCGCACCUGUUGCUCAGCGCCUCAAGAACGCCCAGCAGUUGCGUUCUUGCUUUGGUGCAUGUGCGCACAAGAAGAGCAACAACGGAAGGAAAACGAAAGACACUUCAGGAAAGGAUGGCCAGCACGUAACUUGGCGCUCUACCAUGCUUGUGCCGUGCUUCUCUGGGGUGCUCUCCUCACCUUCUUUGGGCUCUCAACCUCCUUCAUUCCGUCCCGUCCCGCCCCGGUCCCGCCGCCUUUCUCGUCACUCAUUUUACUUGUCACUUCCUCUCCUCUCUCACACUUCGCGUGUCUCUCCCGACGCCCACGUUUGCGCCAAAG
rnacentral:misc_RNA from 1 species